UCUUCGCAGAUGGACAUCUGCUGGAUGCUGAGCAGGAGUAUCUUCACUGGCUAGUUGGGAAUGUCCCUGGAAAUUCGGUGUCGUCAGGAGAAGAGAUCUGCCCUUACAUCAGUCCAUUUCCAGCCAGAGGAACAGGUUUUCACAGAUGCAUCUGCAUCUUGUUUAAACAGGAAGGUCUGGUUGAUUUCAGAGCUGAUCUCCGCUCCUGCCCAGGCUACUCUCUGAAGCAACGGACUUUCCGAACAUUAGACUUCUAAAGAAAGCACCAGGAUUUAAUGACUCCAGCCGGUCUUACAUUUUUCCAGUGUCAGGGGGAUCAGUC